GACGAACGCUGGCGGCGUGCCUAAUACAUGCAAGUCGAGCGAGACUCUUCGGAGUCUAGCGGCGGACGGGUGAGUAACACGUGGGCAACCUGCCUGUAAGACUGGGAUAACACCGGGAAACCGGUGCUAAUACCGGAUAAUCCUUUUCCUCUCAUGAGGAAAAGCUGGAAGUCGGUUUCGGCUGACACUUACAGAUGGGCACGCGGCGCGUUAGCUAGUUGGUGAGGUAACGGCUCACCAAGGCGACGAUGCGUAGCCGACCUGAGAGGGUGGUCGGCCAAACUGGGACUGAGACACGGCCCAGACUCCGACGGGAGUCAGCAGUAGGGAAUCGUCCAGAAUGGACGAAAGUCUGAUGGAGCAACGCCGCGUGAGCGAUGAAGGCCUUCGGGUCGUAAAGCUCUGUUGUUAGGGAAGAACAAGUACCGGAGUAACUGCCGGUACCUUGACGGUACCUAACCAGAAAGCCACGGCUAACUACGUGCCAGCAGCCGCAGUAAAAC
rnacentral:rRNA from 1 species